UCCAAAUUAACCUGCUCAUUUGCUCUUUCAAUUGACAGUGUGUUCGAUUAGGUUUGAUCAAUAUCAUAAUUUUAACACUGUAAGGACUCGGUGCCGAAAUCAUCGGUCUACACUCUACAGCAUUGUUUUCAUCGUCGAAAAUACUGAUUUUCUCGAAGCCAAAGUUCAUCUCAAACUGGAGGUCGUGUCGCUGGAGGUAGUAUUGAUUGCGCUUUCUUCUGCAGCUGCUGCUGGACUUCUGUUGUCCAUCUUGGAUACUCUCUAUAAAGGCUUAAUUGAUUUCUCCAUUUGAUGAUUCUGGACCUGCUCCUACAAUUUAUGCUCGAGUGUUCAGGUGUGGUUUUUUUUAGGCUUAUUUUGCAUUUUUGAAUGAACUGAUAAAAUAUAUCUCCUGCAAAUUAU